UUAGUUUAUUGAGUUCAUUGGUUGGACAAGGUAUUAUGGAAAAUUAUUUUCGUGAAGCGCAUAUUGGGCAAUUGUUUAUUUAGACGUAACUUGGCGGUAAUAUGUUUAAUAAGAAGAAGAAGAGAGAAGAAGAAAACGAGACUUACUCUAGUCAACAAACACCUUACAUAAAAAGUCAUCCUAAAGCCCAUUUGGACAUAUGGUCUCCAACGGUGGGGCAGCGCAAGUUAUACCAAAUAUACUCCAGCGAUAACAGAACGGGAUCUUAACACCAAUUGCAAAAGUAGUAACUGAAAAAUGUGACGCGUAACCGAAAAAUGUGACAGUAAAUUUAUUUCCAACGCCGAUAAAGAAGUUUCACUUCAAAAAUCAUACUUAUAACACAGCCGUAAUAGGUACAAUGCAAGCGCGAUGCAACCGGAAAAUUGCGGAGUUGCCAGAAGCCCUCGCCCACGGCACUGGCUCGCCCUGAUAAAAUUUAUGGCUACUUCCCCUUUAAAACAAUAUUGAGGGCUCAGUUGGGAUUUAUGUCUCGCCGCUGCAGCGACUCAAUUUAUUCUUCAAUUUUUCAUACAAUAACUCACACGUAUUACGAGUGAUGGAUGAAAAGGACUAACUUUCGGGCUUUAAUAAGAGCCUCCAGAUGCGAAUCUCCAAAUUGGCUGAAGUUUAUUGCCCACUUAUGUCAGGCUUAAGUUGCGCUCGGAGCUUUUCUCUCAGAAAAUAAUGUAUGGCCCUGAUUGUCCCGACAUACUAAACAUUUGAUUGAAAUUAUGUUUUCUUAGUACUGGAGAUAACGGUGUACGUCGCUCAAAUUAAUUAAAUUAUAUUACACUAGA